UUAAGCGACUAAGCGUACACGGUGGAUGCCCUGGCAGUCAGAGGCGAUGAAGGACGUGCUAAUCUGCGAUAAGCGUCGGUAAGGUGAUAUGAACCGUUAUAACCGGCGAUUUCCGAAUGGGGAAACCCAGUGUGUUUCGACACACUAUCAUUAACUGAAUCCAUAGGUUAAUGAGGCGAACCGGGGGAACUGAAACAUCUAAGUACCCCGAGGAAAAGAAAUCAACCGAGAUUCCCCCAGUAGCGGCGAGCGAACGGGGAGCAGCCCAGAGCCUGAAUCAGUGUGUGUGUUAGUGGAAGCGUCUGGAAAGGCGCGCGAUACAGGGUGACAGCCCCGUACACAAAAAUGCACAUGCUGUGAGCUCGAUGAGUAGGGCGGGACACGUGGUAUCCUGUCUGAAUAUGGGGGGACCAUCCUCCAAGGCUAAAUACUCCUGACUGACCGAUAGUGAACCAGUACCGUGAGGGAAAGGCGAAAAGAACCCCGGCGAGGGGAGUGAAAAAGAACCUGAAACCGUGUACGUACAAGCAGUGGGAGCACGCUUAGGCGUGUGACUGCGUACCUUUUGUAUAAUGGGUCAGCGACUUAUAUUCUGUAGCAAGGUUAACCGAAUAGGGGAGCCGAAGGGAAACCGAGUCUUAACUGGGCGUUAAGUUGCAGGGUAUAGACCCGAAACCCGGUGAUCUAGCCAUGGGCAGGUUGAAGGUUGGGUAACACUAACUGGAGGACCGAACCGACUAAUGUUGAAAAAUUAGCGGAUGACUUGUGGCUGGGGGUGAAAGGCCAAUCAAACCGGGAGAUAGCUGGUUCUCCCCGAAAGCUAUUUAGGUAGCGCCUCGUGAAUUCAUCUCCGGGGGUAGAGCACUGUUUCGGCAAGGGGGUCAUCCCGACUUACCAACCCGAUGCAAACUGCGAAUACCGGAGAAUGUUAUCACGGGAGACACACGGCGGGUGCUAACGUCCGUCGUGAAGAGGGAAACAACCCAGACCGCCAGCUAAGGUCCCAAAGUCAUGGUUAAGUGGGAAACGAUGUGGGAAGGCCCAGACAGCCAGGAUGUUGGCUUAGAAGCAGCCAUCAUUUAAAGAAAGCGUAAUAGCUCACUGGUCGAGUCGGCCUGCGCGGAAGAUGUAACGGGGCUAAACCAUGCACCGAAGCUGCGGCAGCGACGCUUAUGCGUUGUUGGGUAGGGGAGCGUUCUGUAAGCCUGUGAAGGUGUGCUGUGAGGCAUGCUGGAGGUAUCAGAAGUGCGAAUGCUGACAUAAGUAACGAUAAAGCGGGUGAAAAGCCCGCUCGCCGGAAGACCAAGGGUUCCUGUCCAACGUUAAUCGGGGCAGGGUGAGUCGACCCCUAAGGCGAGGCCGAAAGGCGUAGUCGAUGGGAAACAGGUUAAUAUUCCUGUACUUGGUGUUACUGCGAAGGGGGGACGGAGAAGGCUAUGUUGGCCGGGCGACGGUUGUCCCGGUUUAAGCGUGUAGGCUGGUUUUCCAGGCAAAUCCGGAAAAUCAAGGCUGAGGCGUGAUGACGAGGCACUACGGUGCUGAAGCAACAAAUGCCCUGCUUCCAGGAAAAGCCUCUAAGCAUCAGGUAACAUCAAAUCGUACCCCAAACCGACACAGGUGGUCAGGUAGAGAAUACCAAGGCGCUUGAGAGAACUCGGGUGAAGGAACUAGGCAAAAUGGUGCCGUAACUUCGGGAGAAGGCACGCUGAUAUGUAGGUGAAGUCCCUCGCGGAUGGAGCUGAAAUCAGUCGAAGAUACCAGCUGGCUGCAACUGUUUAUUAAAAACACAGCACUGUGCAAACACGAAAGUGGACGUAUACGGUGUGACGCCUGCCCGGUGCCGGAAGGUUAAUUGAUGGGGUCAGCGCAAGCGAAGCUCUUGAUCGAAGCCCCGGUAAACGGCGGCCGUAACUAUAACGGUCCUAAGGUAGCGAAAUUCCUUGUCGGGUAAGUUCCGACCUGCACGAAUGGCGUAAUGAUGGCCAGGCUGUCUCCACCCGAGACUCAGUGAAAUUGAACUCGCUGUGAAGAUGCAGUGUACCCGCGGCAAGACGGAAAGACCCCGUGAACCUUUACUAUAGCUUGACACUGAACAUUGAGCCUUGAUGUGUAGGAUAGGUGGGAGGCUUUGAAGUGUGGACGCCAGUCUGCAUGGAGCCGACCUUGAAAUACCACCCUUUAAUGUUUGAUGUUCUAACGUUGACCCGUGAUCCGGGUUGCGGACAGUGUCUGGUGGGUAGUUUGACUGGGGCGGUCUCCUCCUAAAGAGUAACGGAGGAGCACGAAGGUUGGCUAAUCCUGGUCGGACAUCAGGAGGUUAGUGCAAUGGCAUAAGCCAGCUUGACUGCGAGCGUGACGGCGCGAGCAGGUGCGAAAGCAGGUCAUAGUGAUCCGGUGGUUCUGAAUGGAAGGGCCAUCGCUCAACGGAUAAAAGGUACUCCGGGGAUAACAGGCUGAUACCGCCCAAGAGUUCAUAUCGACGGCGGUGUUUGGCACCUCGAUGUCGGCUCAUCACAUCCUGGGGCUGAAGUAGGUCCCAAGGGUAUGGCUGUUCGCCAUUUAAAGUGGUACGCGAGCUGGGUUUAGAACGUCGUGAGACAGUUCGGUCCCUAUCUGCCGUGGGCGCUGGAGAAUUGAGGGGGGCUGCUCCUAGUACGAGAGGACCGGAGUGGACGCAUCACUGGUGUUCGGGUUGUCAUGCCAAUGGCACUGCCCGGUAGCUAAAUGCGGAAGAGAUAAGUGCUGAAAGCAUCUAAGCACGAAACUUGCCCCGAGAUGAGUUCUCCCUGACCCUUUAAGGGUCCUGAAGGAACGUUGAAGACGACGACGUUGAUAGGCCGGGUGUGUAAGCGCAGCGAUGCGUUGAGCUAACCGGUACUAAUGAACCGUGAGGCUUAACCU
rnacentral:rRNA from 1 species